rnacentral:lncRNA from 1 species
UGGUACAAAAAAAAUAGAGAGAACAUGCAAAAUCAGGGCAGCCCACCUGCUGGGAGGAGGAAAAGAUAUUCUCCACAUAUGAGCAGGAAAAUAUAUUGUCUAGGUUUCCGUGCCCACCUGUGUCCUUCCUACGUACAAUCACUACUAAAAAUAACGAAAGAUCGAUCCUGUCUGUCGAAAAAAAAUCUUACCUUAUCAACUUAAAUAUGCCUUCCCUGCGACAACUUAUUUCCAUUAUGCCAGAACUUUGAGGCAAAAACUUGCUGCCCAUUGCUAUGAAUCAUCAAGACCAAGU